GGGGGGGGGGGGGGGGGGGCGGGGGGGGGGGGGGGGGGGGGGGGGGGGGGGGGGGGGGCGGCGCGGGGGGUAGCGGCGGACGGGUGAGGAGGAGGUGGAGAACCGACCUAUAAGACUGGGAUAACUUCGGGAAACCGUAGCUAAUACCGGAUAAUAUUUUGAACCGCAUGGUUCAAAAGUGAAAGACGGUCUUGCUGUCACUGAUAGAUGGCUCCGCGCUGCAUUAGCUAGUUGGUAAGGUAACGGCUUACCAAGGCAACGAUGCAUAGCCGACCUGAGAGGGUGAUCGGCCACACUGGAACUGAGACACGGUCCAGACUCCUACGGGAGGCAGCAGUAGGGAAUCUUCCGCAAUGGGCGAAAGCCUGACGGAGCAACGCCGCGUGAGUGAUGAAGGUCUUCGGAUCGUAAAACUCUGUUAUUAGGGAAGAACAUAUGUGUAAGUAACUGUGCACAUCUUGACGGUACCUAAUCAGAAAGCCACGGCUAACUACGUG
rnacentral:rRNA from 1 species